CCGGUAAACGGCGGCCGUAACUAUAACGGUCCUAAGGUAGCGAAAUUCCUUGUCGGGUAAGUUCCGACCUGCACGAAUGGCGUAAUGAUGGCCAGGCUGUCUCCACCCGAGACUCAGUGAAAUUGAACUCGCUGUGAAGAUGCAGUGUACCCGCGGCAAGACGGAAAGACCCCGUGAACCUUUACUAUAGCUUGACACUGAACAUUGAGCCUUGAUGUGUAGGAUAGGUGGGAGGCUUUGAAGUGUGGACGCCAGUCUGCAUGGAGCCGACCUUGAAAUACCACCCUUUAAUGUUUGAUGUUCUAACGUUGACCCGUAAUCCGGGUUGCGGACAGUGUCUGGUGGGUAGUUUGACUGGGGCGGUCUCCUCCUAAAGAGUAACGGAGGAGCACGAAGGUUGGCUAAUCCUGGUCGGACAUCAGGAGGUUAGUGCAAUGGCAUAAGCCAGCUUGACUGCGAGCGUGACGGCGCGAGCAGGUGCGAAAGCAGGUCAUAGUGAUCCGGUGGUUCUGAAUGGAAGGGCCAUCGCUCAACGGAUAAAAGGUACUCCGGGGAUAACAGGCUGAUACCGCCCAAGAGUUCAUAUCGACGGCGGUGUUUGGCACCUCGAUGUCGGCUCAUCACAUCCUGGGGCUGAAGUAGGUCCCAAGGGUAUGGCUGUUCGCCAUUUAAAGUGGUACGCGAGCUGGGUUUAGAACGUCGUGAGACAGUUCGGUCCCUAUCUGCCGUGGGCGCUGGAGAAUUGAGGGGGGCUGCUCCUAGUACGAGAGGACCGGAGUGGACGCAUCACUGGUGUUCGGGUUGUCAUGCCAAUGGCACUGCCCGGUAGCUAAAUGCGGAAGAGAUAAGUGCUGAAAGCAUCUAAGCACGAAACUUGCCCCGAGAUGAGUUCUCCCUGACUCCUUGAGAGUCCUGAAGGAACGUUGAAGACGACGACGUUGAUAGGCCGGGUGUGUAAGCGCAGCGAUGCGU
rnacentral:rRNA from 1 species